rnacentral:lncRNA from 10 species
CUGCUGCCCCCAUGCAGUAGGAUGCUGUCCCCCCCAGUUCCUGUUUCCCUGCUGCCCCCAUGCAGUAGGAUGCUGUCUGCCCAGUUCCCAUUUCCCUGCUGCCCCCAUGCAGUAGGAUGCUGUACCCAUUUCCUGUUUCCUUGCUGCCCCCAUGCAGUAGGAUGCUGUCCCCCAGUUCAUGUUUCCCUGCUGCCCCCAUGCAGUAGGAUGCUGUGCCCCCAGUUCCUGUUUCCUUGCUGCCCCCAUGCAGUAGGAUGCUGUGCCCCCAGUUCCUGUUUCCUUGCUGCCCCCAUGCAGUAGGAUGCUGUGCCCCCAGUUCCUGUUUCCCUGCGCCCCCAUGCAGUAGGAUGCUGUCCCCAUUUCCUGUUUCCUUGCUGCUCCCAUGCAGUAGGGUGCUGUCCCCCCAGUUCCUGUUUCCCUGCUGCCCCCACGCAGUAGGAUGCUCUUUUACCAUUUCCUACUUUCUUACUGCCCCCAAAAACAUGUAGAUAGGUGGUUCCCCUCAUCAGGAGUUCACUGCUCAUUACUCAGGGGAAUGGAUGGGAGAUUAAAUUAUCAAGCAAGGGGAAAUGACAAAGGUUCCAAAAUUUGUGACAUGUACCUAGUCUUGGCCCCUCUUGUGUAAAGUUCUUUUGUUAUUUUUAUUUAUUUUUUAAGAAAAGACAGGGGUCCCCAUUUGUUUUCAUCAUCUGAUUUUGUUCACCCAAGUGGGCUCUGUGACUUCCACCAUCUUUUGGCCAUCCCUGUGUUAGCAAAGGCCGCACUGAUUCCUUUCCUCCUGCUCGUCCUGCUUCUCAGCACUUGGGCCUAAAAAUGCAGGUAAGGCAGAACAGUUCCUGUCCUUCUAGCUGAUAUGGGUUCACUAGCUCUCUGUCUCACCCAAAAAUGAUACUUUCUCAGCAUUUCUGCAUUAGCUUGUGGCCUUGGCCAGGGCUCCUGACCACUCUAAGCCCAGGAUUCCUGAUCUGUGAAAAGAGGCCAAAAAUACCUCCUUCCCAGUGUUGAGAUAAUGGACUGAAAGUGCCUUGGACAUUGCAAAGGGCAAUUCUAUCGUGAACUUUUUAUUGUACCUAAAUAAAAAAGAAAUGAUCAAUGCCUCUCAUUAAUAGCUAUAAUUUAUUGAGUGCCAACUAGGUGCUGGUUACUAUAUUUAGUGCUCUACGUACAUUAUUGCAAAUACUCUCAAGAACAGUAAGGAAGGAAUGACCCCAUUUUAUAAAUAAGUGAUCUAAAGUAUUCAACUAAGUGGUAGAGUUGAAAUUUGACCCUAGGUGUGUCUGCUUGCAGUUUGUAUUUUUCCCUACCCCAAUCUGUGUUUUAAACAAACCCUAUACCACACACAGGCUUCCGUUGCUAUAUUUAUCACAUUAUAUUUGUGAUAUCACAUUGUGUGUGAUACAUCAUUGUAUCAUGUACACAUGUACACCUUGUAUUAUUACACGUGUGUGAUACACAUGUGUAUCACUUUGUAAUUUGCUUGUUUAUAGGUUUCUCAUCUAGGAGACCAUGC